rnacentral:rRNA from 1 species
UACGUAGGGUGCGAGCGUUGUCCGGAAUUAUUGGGCGUAAAGGGCGCGUAGGCGGCCAGCACAAGUCAGUUGUGAAAUCUCCGAGCUUAACUCGGAAAGGUCAACUGAUACUGUGCGGCUAGAGUGCGGAAGGGGCAACUGGAAUUCUUGGUGUAGCGGCGAAAUGCGUAGAUAUCAAGAGGAACACCUGCGGCGAAGGCGGGUUGCUGGGCCGACACUGACGCUGAGGCGCGAAAGCCAGGGGAGCGAACGGG